rnacentral:rRNA from 1 species
GACGAACGCUGGCGGCGCGCUUAACACAUGCAAGUCGAACGGAAAGGCCUGCUUUCCCUUGUGGAUUGCGGGUACUCGAGUGGCGAACGGGUGAGUAACACGUGAGUGAUCUGCCCCCAACUUGGGUAUAAGCCUGGGAAACUGGGUCUAAUUCCCGAUAGGACUGCAGGGUGGUGCCUGUGGUGGAAAACGAUUUUCUAGUGGUUGGGGAUGAGCUCGCGGCCUAUCAGCUUGUUGGUGGGGUAAUGGCCUACCAAGGCGGCGACGGGUAGCCGGCCUGAGAGGGUGGACGGCCACAUUGGGACUGAGAUACGGCCCAGACGCCUACGGGAGGCAGCAGUGGGGAAGAUUGCACAAUGGGCGGAAGCCUGAUGCAGCGACGCCGCGUGGGGGAUGACGGCCUUCGGGUUGUAAACUCCUUUCGACCGCGAGGAAGCCACCUGGUUGGAAGGGUGGUGACGGUAGUGGUAGAAGAAGCACCGGCUAACUACGUG